rnacentral:rRNA from 1 species
AGUUAAGUGACUAAGCGUACACGGUGGAUGCCUAGGCAGAAGAAGGCGAUGAAGGACGUAGUAACUUGCGAUAAGCCACGGGGAGUCAGUAAACAUGCAUUGAUCCGUGGAUUUCCGAAUGGGAAAACCCAUCCAUUUAUGGAUAUCCCCCUAGUGGGGAGGCUAACCCGGGGAACUGAAACAUCUAAGUACCCGGAGGAAAAGAAAUCAACCGAGAUUCCCUAAGUAGCGGCGAGCGAAAGGGGACCAGCCCUUAAGCUGGUAUAAGAAUAGUAGAAUGGUCUGGAAAGUCCAACGAUACAAGGUGAUAGUCCUGUAUACGAAAUUCUUUUAUCAGUGAAAUCGAGUAGGACGGGACACGAGAAAUCCUGUUUGAACAUGGGGGGACCACCCUCCAAGGCUAAAUACUCUCUUCUGACCGAUAGUGAACCAGUACCGUGAGGGAAAGGCGAAAAGAACCCCUGAAGGGGAGUGAAAUAGAACCUGAAACCGUGUACGUACAAGCAGUAGGAGCAUACUUGUUAUGUGACUGCGUACCUUUUGUAUAAUGGGUCAGCGACUUACAUUAUGUAGCGAGGUUAACCGAAUAGGGGAGCCGUAGGGAAACCGAGUCUUAAAUGGGCGAUAUAGUUGCAUGGUGUAGACCCGAAACCGGGCGAUCUAUCCAUGGCCAGGUUGAAGGUUGGGUAACACCAACUGGAGGACCGAACUCACGUAUGUUGAAAAAUGCGGAGAUGAGCUGUGGAUCGGAGUGAAAGGCUAAUCAAGCCCGGAGAUAGCUGGUUCUCCUCGAAAACUAUUUAGGUAGUGCCUCAUGUAUCACUGUUGGGGGUAGAGCACUGUUAUGGUCUAGCGGUCCGUCAAGGAUUAGCAGCCCAUUGCAAACUCCGAAUACCAACAAGUGCAAUCAUGGGAGACAGACAGCGGGUGCUAACGUCCGUUGUCAAGAGGGAAACAACCCAGACCGCCAUCUAAGGUCCCUAAAUAUUACUCAGUGGGAAAGGAUGUGGGAAGGCUCAGACAGUCAGGAGGUUGGCUUAGAAGCAGCCACCCUUUAAAGAAAGCGUAAUAGCUCACUGAUCGAGUCGGCCUGCGCCGAAGAUUUAACGGGGCUAAGUAAUAUACCGAAGAUGCGGAUGCAUAUUUAUAUGCAUGGUAGAGGAGCGUUCUGUAAGCCUGCGAAGGGGCACUGUAAGGUGUCCUGGAGGUAUCAGAAGUGCGAAUGCUGACAUGAGUAGCGAUAAAGGGAGUGAAAAGCUCCCUCGCCGAAAGACCAAGGUUUCCUACGCAACGUUAAUCGACGUAGGGUUAGUCGACCCCUAAGACGAGGCCGAGAGGCGUAGUCGAUGGGAAGCAGGUUAAUAUUCCUGCACUAUUUAUUACUGCGAUGGAGGGACGGAGUAGGCUAAAUCAGCCUGGCGAUGGUUGUCCAGGUUUAAGAUUGUAGGCAGAGAGAUUAGGCAAAUCCGGUCUCUUGUUAAUGCUGAGAAUUGAUGACGAGCUCUUUUUUGAGUGAAGUGAUUGAUGCCAUGCUUCCAAGAAAAGCUUCUAAGCUUCAGGUAAUAAAUAAUCGUACCCCAAACCAACACAGGUGGUCGGGAUGAGAAUUCUAAGGCGCUUGAGAGAACUCGGGUGAAGGAACUAGGCAAAAUGGUACCGUAACUUCGGGAGAAGGUACGCCCCACUCGGUGAUGAGAUUUACUCUCUAAGCUAGAUGGGGUUGCAAUAAAAUGGUGGCUGCAACUGUUUACUAAAAACAUAGCACUGUGCAAAAUCGAAAGAUGACGUAUACGGUGUGACGCCUGCCCGGUGCCGGAAGGUUAAUUGAUGGGGUUAUCUUCGGAGAAGCUCUUGAUCGAAGCCCCGGUAAACGGCGGCCGUAACUAUAACGGUCCUAAGGUAGCGAAAUUCCUUGUCGGGUAAGUUCCGACCUGCACGAAUGGCGUAAUGAUGGCCACACUGUCUCCACCCGAGACUCAGCGAAAUUGAAAUCGCAGUUAAGAUGCUGCGUACCCGCGGCUAGACGGAAAGACCCCGUGAACCUUUACUACAGCUUUGCACUGGACUUUGAUACUAUCUGUGUAGGAUAGGUGGGAGGCUAUGAAACCAUGACGCUAGUUGUGGUGGAGCCAAUCUUGAAAUACCACCCUGAUAUUAUUGAGGUUCUAACCUGGGCCAGUGAAUCCUGGUCAGGGACAGUGUAUGGUGGGUAGUUUGACUGGGGCGGUCUCCUCCUAAAGAGUAACGGAGGAGCGCGAAGGUACCCUCAGCACGGUCGGACAUCGUGCAAUGAGCGCAAGAGUAAAAGGGUGCUUGACUGCGAGACUGACACGUCGAGCAGGUGCGAAAGCAGGUUCUAGUGAUCCGGUGGUUCUGUGUGGAAGGGCCAUCGCUCAACGGAUAAAAGGUACUCCGGGGAUAACAGGCUGAUACCGCCCAAGAGUUCAUAUCGACGGCGGUGUUUGGCACCUCGAUGUCGGCUCAUCACAUCCUGGGGCUGAAGUCGGUCCCAAGGGUAUGGCUGUUCGCCAUUUAAAGUGGUACGCGAGCUGGGUUUAGAACGUCGUGAGACAGUUCGGUCCCUAUCUGCCGUGGGCGUUGGAAAUUUGAGGGAGGCUGCUCCUAGUACGAGAGGACCGGAGUGGACGAACCGCUGGUGUUCGGGUUGUUAUGCCAAUAGCAUUGCCCGGUAGCUACGUUCGGAAUGGAUAACCGCUGAAAGCAUCUAAGCGGGAAACCAGUCCCAAGAUUAGAUUUCCCUAGACUUUAAGUCUUCUGAAGGGCCGUUAGAGACUAUGACGUUGAUAGGCAAGGUGUGGAAGAGCAGUAAUGUUUGAAGCUAACUUGUACUAAUUACCCGUGAGGCUUAACUAU